rfam:Danio rerio chromosome 24, GRCz11 reference primary assembly.
UGAACUAACCCUUGUAAGUCGCUUUGGAUAAAAGCGUCUGCUAAAUGACUAAAU